rnacentral:rRNA from 1 species
GAUGAACGCUGGCGGCGUGCUUAACACAUGCAAGUCGAACGAUGAAGCCCAGCUUGCUGGGUGGAUUAGUGGCGAACGGGUGAGUAACACGUGAGUAACCUGCCCUUGACUCUGGGAUAAGCCUGGGAAACUGGGUCUAAUACUGGAUAUGACUUCUCAUCGCAUGGUGGGGGGUGGAAAGAUUUAUUGGUCUUGGAUGGACUCGCGGCCUAUCAGCCUGUUGGUGAGGUAAUGGCUCACCAAGGCGACGACGGGUAGCCGGCCUGAGAGGGUGACCGGCCACACUGGGACUGAGACACGGCCCAGACUCCUACGGGAGGCAGCAGUGGGGAAUAUUGCACAAUGGGCGCAAGCCUGAUGCAGCGACGCCGCGUGAGGGAUGACGGCCUUCGGGUUGUAAACCUCUUUCAGUAGGGAAGAAGCGAGAGUGACGGUACCUGCAGAAGAAGCGCCGGCUAACUACGUG